GGAAACACAACCAUUGAAUCUCACACAAUGGAGGCAUGCAGACAGACCAUAGUCUGUGGCACACACAUUCUGAUAGACCAUGAUUUAUGGACUCCAAAUCUCUCCUACCAUGUGGAACUGAAAGACACAGAGAUCUGAAUCUCAGGGCUACUUCUACAACUGGAGUUGAAUAAGGAAGCAACAGAAAACCACAGAAGCCACAGCCUUCCUUCCCCUUUCCUGCUACUCCCUUGAGAUGGACUCUAGUAGGAGUCACAUACUGGGCUGAACUAGGACAAACAAGCCCAUUGGACUGGGAUGAACUCUCCCUGCUGAUUGGUAUCCGCGGUGGAGGGGAUGAUGACAUAAUGGCCGGGCGCCAGGCGACCACGAAUCACCACCUCCGUUCGCUGGGCGUAACCCUGGGUGCUGAUGAGUGGGCGGCGCAAGCUCAGGUCCAAAGAGGACAGGUAAGAGCACUCUGAGGCAGCCUGGGAAGAGAGGGGUGGAUACGGUAGGGUACAUACACACACAUUUCCACACUGAGAAAAAUUAUGCCACACUCAAAUAUUCCCUGACUUCUUCCUUCCUUCCUUUUUUUCUCUCAUAUUUAGUGUGGCUCAUUUAAAUCUACUCUGGCUGUAUUUCCUGUUGCGUGUGUAUGUCUGCAUACAGUCAUGUGCUGGUGUACCUUGUAGAUAUCCAGGCCGAUGCCCAGGUGGACUCCUCUGAGUCUCUGGUGCUUCUGCAUGAGGGCCACUAGGAAGGAACAGGUCAGCUCAGGGUCACUGGGGUCAUCGUCCUCCUCCAGCAGGGUCAAGUGGAACUGAGGGUUCUGCCAGAACCAGCCUGGACAGAUACAUAUUUAGUAUUGUACAUCAUCUGUGUGUAUGUUUCAAUAAGGUACACACAUGGAUAUCAAUCUAUUCCUUCUCUGAUUAUGUAUGGCUGAAUUCAUUUUUAUUUCAUAGUUGUGGUGUGUGUGUCAGUAGCAUUGUGACUUUUCCCACCCCCUUUGGGAGAGCCCCCGGCGGAGAUGUGUGGAACCCAGCUCCCAUGAUGCAUCGUGCAGUUCCAUGGCCUCUGUGUGGCGCCCGGCUCGCUCAGGGUCUCCUCACUCAGGUGACACACCUCCAUCGACUCAAAGUUCUGACGGAAGUCUGACACUGCCAUCCUGAGCGAGGAGAGAUGUUAUUAAUAUAUGAGAACAGGUGAAGUAUACACAAAGAGAGAGUCUAUGAAGAGAGGUCCACUUACCAGAACUCCCCAUCCUCCUUCUGAACCCUGUCCAGACGCUUCUGCUCCUCCUCACAGACAUGACUCCACUCAGGCCUGUGGACAGAAACACACUGUGAGGAACCUGCCCCCCCUACACACACAUAAAUGGUAUGAUUAAUGGGUUAAUAGCUAGCUAACCCAUUCAUGUCACUCCAGGGUCCCUCCCACUCCAUCUUUCCCCAGGGGUUGUGAACACGGACCAGCUCCACAGUCUCAUACUUCGUCUUCACCUGAGUGGAGGAGUGAGAGAGACAGAGUCACCCAAACUGAAAACCUAUUUGACUAUCAAACACAGGAAACCCAACUCCACUGAAUGUGUGCAGGUUUUGGCUGGUGGCAUUUGUACACUUUUGGCCUUGGUGUGCAGUCAUGAAUCAGAGAGUGAAUUUGACAACAGAGGCGGGUAGCCUUACAUUUUCAAGCCCGGUUACAGAGUAGGCAUGUCUGAACAUGAUUCCAAACUCAUUCCUCUGCUCAAGGGGGCCCUGUGGGAAAAUGAAUCCACGCACAACAUAUGUUAAUGUCUAAGCAAAGUAGAACAGAAGGUUUAAUCACCGUGUUCUGCUCACUGAUACAAUUAUAGGAGUGGGUUUGAAUCCUAAUACACGUAGAAAGAUUAUUCCAUCAGAAAGAUGGAGGCUCGGCACCUACGUUUCAUCACCUUGUCCCUUGUAACAUUACACACACCUGGCAGUUGGCACAGUUGAUGAGUGCCCCCUUGGCCAGAAUGGGCUUGAGGAAGGCUGCCAGGUCCUUGGGCAGAGAAGCCACAGUCAGCACCUCCGUUAUGCCCCCUGUCAUGUCCACCAUGGCCUCGUGGGGGAAGCCCAUGUUCAGGGCCCGAUAGCCUCCCUUCAGCCUGACAGAGAGGGUCGAUCACAACAGGUAAGAUUGGAGGCCAGAGCAGCAUCAUAGUGCAGUGGACACACUGGUACAUCCUGGUGUUAUCCUCUUCGGCCUUACGCAACUAAAGCCACACGCAGGAGGUAAUUACACUGACAAGGUAGAAGGACGUAGACAUGCAGUUCUAGACCAACUCGGAGUUAAAAUAUCAAAUCAUUGCAUCCACAAAGAUAAUGUGUGUGUGACAGGAUAGCAGGAAAUAAAACAGCAUGCAUAGAACACCAAAGAUCGCAGAGACAAACACUGACUUGGCGUAGGCCUUCUCCAACAGAGCACUCCAGAACUCUCUUUUCUCUGAGGAGCACAGGUAGAUCAGCUUGCCCUUUUGCGUAGGCAGCAGGUCAUCAACCUUCACCUUCUCCCACUCGCCGUACUGCCAGAACUAUAGACAGACAGGUUUUCAUUUUAUUCUCAGGGAUAGGCAUCAACAAACUCCAACUAAAAUAGUCAUUCACCCAUAUGUCCUAUAAACAGGAGUGCAAAUUCAACAACCCUUGACAAAUACUGUACAGCCUAAUUAGGUGUGUUUAAUGUCCUGAGGCUGACCUGGAAGUAAAAGCUGCCGUUGUAACCCUCCUGGAAGCUCUGCCCAUUGGGCACCACCCGCUCCAUCAGCGGGCGAUACAGGGAGAGGGAUGCCACCGCAGACAGGAACCAGCAGUCAUCUAAUCAACCGAGAGCAGGGGAGGACAGAGGGACGGGUAAAGGUAUAUUAUAUCGCAUUUACGUCACUGGGUAAGUCAAGGGAGAGCAUGUUUAGUCAUUUGAUGAUGACCACCUGUCGUUUACUGUACAGUAGACAUACAAUUCAUUCAUGAUUUGUGCUCUAGGGUAGAACUUUGCUGUCAUGACGUGGCCCUUUCUGGGUAUAGAGCGUGGCAUCCCCCUCGCUCUCCUUUCUUACACCCAGGUUCUGUUAUCUCAGGUUGUCAAUUCCUUGAGGAGACUCUCUCCUCCUGGCCAUGUAGUGUAGAGAGAGAGAGAGUUUCACAGUAGAACAAAGGAACUUCUUCUACAUCACAGAACUAAACAAUAUCCAUGUUUUGGAGAAUGUGUAAACGGUCGGUGGAGGAGCCAGCUAUGACCCGGUCCGUUUUGUUUCAUGUUUGUGACCUCAUGAAAGACAAUACAGCCACAUUACCAUAACUCUGUUUAUACAGGUGCCUCCGUUGAGGUUUGCGUCUAAUUAUUGUAUAAAAUGAAUGAGUAAAGAUGAAACUAUUUAUGAAAUGAUGUGAUGCCAUGUUAAACCGUUAAUGUGAGAGAAUUGUAUUCCCUUUAAAGUUUAACUAAGUCAUUGGCCCGCCCCCAUGAGCACAGACAUGAUCUGGCUCAUGGGACAGUCCUUUUCUACUGUUACAAAUAAAAACCCCACCUGAAGAAAUCCUCUUCAGACCAUGCGUACCUCAGUCAGCUAAGGGGUCUAAGGUUGAGUAGAAAAAACCUCAGUAUAAGCUAAGGUUGUAAUGGUUGUUGAAUUCCUAACCAUACCACGUGGAGCAUUGGCCACACGGGUGGAAAUGGUUAAACUCAGACUAUCGAUCCCGACAGAAUAAGAGCAAAUCUUCGAUACUAAUUACUAGUCUGCAGCUAGAAAUUAUGUCAACCUGACAUGCGAAGAUCGACAACUGCCGAAACAUCUAUUCUAUAAGAACAUUUUUGAAGGGUACUCUGAAGUAUCCAUUCUAAUCAAGAACAGACGAGACGCUUGGAUGAACUUUCUAACUGAAAGACGGACGGUUCCAACAGAGAUCAUGACGACACACUGUGCGUAAAUAUAUAGUGAUUGCAAUUAUUCCCGAAUGAGUGAGCGUUUGUGCAAAGGAUUAGCAUUUGAAUUAAUAUAAUUAACUGUGUAGUGACUCAUUUGUCUUUCCCGCCCUUCUCAGUCCACACAGACUUCCCUUUGUCCACCAAGCCGUCAUAUCGGCUUAGCCCACUAGGGAACCUCCCCUAUCAUUUCCUUGUAACCAUAUCUACUGUGUUGUUUGUUUAUCCAUUUCUGUGAUUAUUUAGUUAGUAAA